UAUUUUUGGACUAUUGUGUAUUAUCUCGUAUUUGUGUACCGUGUUGGUCUUGUGAUUCUAAUUGUCACAGGCAGUGGGAUUUUUCCCAACAGUUUGUGGUCUGUAUCGAGGAGGGAAGAUAUAUUCCCACCCAAAUGAUGAUCAAGUAUUAGAACAAAGAAAUAAGACGUGAUUGUUAGAGCCUCCACAUUCUACAAUCUUCCGCCUUCACCUCCGCCACCGCGGCAGAAAUAUAGAAUUGUUCUUCUACAUCUCUGAACCAUUUUUUCUAAUGAUGAACCCAGAGUGGUACCUAUCAAGGCUUUAUUUAUAGUGUUGUCUGUAGUAUUAUAGAAGCCUAUGUAUAUUGGUUAGUCUUGAAAAUUGUAUAAAUCAUUUCAAAUUUAAAUUUAUUGUCUUGUAAUUAUGGUUUAAGUAUACGAAGAGGCAACUUGAACGAGAUUGUAAACAAAAAAUCUGAUAUUCAAAUAAUUCAAAUUUCAAGAUAUUUAAA